rnacentral:rRNA from 1 species
UACGUAGGGGGCAAGCGUUGUCUGGAUUCAUUGGGCGUAAAGAGCUCGUAGGCGGCUUGGCAAGUCGGGUGUGAAAACUUCAGGCUCAACCUGGAGCGGGCACUCGAUACUGCCAUGGCUUGAGUCCGGUAGGGGACCAUGGAAUUCCUGGUGUAGCGGUGAAAUGCGCAGAUAUCAGGGGGAACACCGGUGGCGAAGGCGGGUCUCUGGGCAGUAACUGACGCUGAGGAGCGAAAGCGUGGGGAGCGAACAGG